rnacentral:misc_RNA from 1 species
GAUGAAGAACGCAGCGAAAUGCGAUAAGUAAUGUGAAUUGCAGAAUUCAGUGAAUCAUCGAAUCUUCGAACGCACAUUGCGCCCCUUGGUAUUCCGGGGGGCAUGCCUGUCCGAGCGUCAUUACAACCCUCAAGCUCAGCUUGGUGUUGGGCCCCGCCGCCCCGGCGGGCCCUAAAGUCAGUGGCGGUGCCGUCCGGCUCCGAGCGUAGUAAUUCUUCUCGCUCUGGAGGUCCGGUCGUGUGCUCGCCAGCAACCCCCAAUUUUUUUCAGGUUGACCUCGGAUCAGGUAGGGAUACCCGCUGAACUUAAGCAUAUCAAUAAGCGGAGGA